rnacentral:rRNA from 1 species
CAGCAGCCGCGGGAAUACGAAGGGUGCAAGCGUUAAUCGGAAUUACUGGGCGUAAAGCGUGCGUAGGCGGUGAGUUAAGUCCGCUGUGAAAUCCCCGGGCUCAACCUGGGAAUGGCAGUGGAUACUGGCUCGCUAGAGUGUGUCAGAGGAUGGUGGAAUUCCCGGUGUAGCGGUGAAAUGCGUAGAGAUCGGGAGGAACAUCAGUGGCGAAGGCGGCCAUCUGGGACAACACUGACGCUGAGGCACGAAAGCGUGGGGAGCAAACAGGAUUAGAUACCCCCGUAGUCCCUGUCUCUUAUAC